rnacentral:rRNA from 1 species
UACAGAGGUCCCAAGCGUUGUUCGGAUUCACUGGGCGUAAAGGGUGCGUAGGCGGCGCGACAAGUUGGGUGUGAAAUCCCUCGGCUCAACCGAGGAACUGCGCCCAAAACUGUCGUGCUCGAGGGAGACAGAGGUGAGCGGAACUUAGGGUGGAGCGGUGAAAUGCGUUGAUAUCCUAAGGAACACCGGUGGCGAAAGCGGCUCACUGGGUCUCUUCUGACGCUGAGGCACGAAAGUUAGGGUAGCGAACGGG